CCCUUAGAUGUUCCGGGCCGCACGCGCGCUACACUGAUGCAUUCAACGAGUCUAAAACCUGGUCUGAUAGGGCUGGGUAAUCUUUUGAAUGUGCAUCGUGAUUGGGAUAGAUGAUUGCAAUUCUUCAUCUUCAACGAGGAAUGCCUAGUAAACGCAAGUCAUCAGCUUGCAUUGAUUACGUCCCUGCCCUUUGUACACACCGCCCGUCGCUCCUACCGAUUGAAUGUUCCGAUGAAUACCAUGGACUGAGAGUAUGAAUGGGUUCGCCUAUUUCUGCUUCUCGGGAAGUGGAGUAAAUCUUAACAUUUAGAGGAAGGAGAAGUCGUAACA
rnacentral:rRNA from 1 species